rnacentral:rRNA from 1 species
AAUUCAGCGGCCAGAGGUGAAAUUCUCGGAUUCGCGAAGACUAAACUAUGUGAAAGCAUUCACCAAGGAUGUCUUCUUUAAUCAAGAACGAAAGUUGGGGGAUCGAAGACGAUCAGAUACCGUCGUAGUCUCAACCAUAACAUAUGCCGACUAGGGAUGGGUGAACGUUGAUAUUCGAGUUCAUCAUACCAUUAUGAGAAAUCAAAGUGUUUCGGUUCCGGGGGGAGUAUGGUGGCAAGGAAGAAACUUAAAGGAAGGCACCGAAGGGCACACCCGGAGUGGAGCCGGCGGGGGAAUUUGAUUCAACUCGGGAAAACUUCCCAGGUCCGGACAUAGUGAGGAUGACAGAUGUCAGAUCCUUCCCGAUUCUAUGGGUGGUGGUGCAUGGCCGUUGUUAGUUCUGGAGAGAUGGGUACGGUUAAUUCCGUUCCCUAUCGAGACCUCAACCUGAAAUAUAGUUCCGCUAAUGUUUCCAGAUUGGGCCAGACUUCUUAGAGGGAAAGUCGGAGUGUAGCAAACGGAAGUUCGAGGCAAUAACAGGUCUGCCAUGCCAUUAGAUGAUUUGGGCCGCACGCGCAAGGAGCCCCGGCGGUCAUCAAGUUUACAACCUUGAAAGAGGACCCUUGGGUAAUUUUGGCCACAUGCCUCGUGCUGGGGAUAGAAUAUUCUAAUUAAUAAUAAUCAACGAGGAAUUAUCUAGUAAACGCAAGUCAUCAACAAGCAGCCAUUACGUACCCUCCCCUUAUACACACCGCC